GCCCUCGCUAUCUGCCCAGCCUGAGAUAUCCGCUCCGUGCUGCCCUUCCCCAUGUGAAGACUCAAGACCUGUUCCUGUUCCGCCAUCCUGACAAUAAACCUGUUCUUAUCUCUA